rnacentral:rRNA from 1 species
GAUGAACGCUGGCGGCGUGCUUAACACAUGCAAGUCGAACGAUGAAGCCCAGCUUGCUGGGUGGAUUAGUGGCGAACGGGUGAGUAACACGUGAGUAACCUGCCCUUAACUCUGGGAUAAGCCUGGGAAACUGGGUCUAAUACCGGAUAGGAGCGUCCACCGCAUGGUGGGUGUUGGAAAGAUUUAUCGGUUUUGGAUGGACUCGCGGCCUAUCAGCUUGUUGGUGAGGUAAUGGCUCACCAAGGCGACGACGGGUAGCCGGCCUGAGAGGGUGACCGGCCACACUGGGACUGAGACACGGCCCAGACUCCUACGGGAGGCAGCAGUGGGGAAUAUUGCACAAUGGGCGCAAGCCUGAUGCAGCGACGCCGCGUGAGGGAUGACGGCCUUCGGGUUGUAAACCUCUUUCAGUAGGGAGGAAGCGAAAGUGACGGUACCUGCAGAAGAAGCGCCGGCUAACUACGUG